ACAUGGUGGAUUACAGCGGGAGGAAAGGCAUCACCUAAGAAUAUAUCGGCCUCGUCAAGACGAAUUGGAGGCGUGUAAUGAUUUGAAACUCAUCCUGAAAUAUCUGUGGACUGUGCUGACCGUGCUGAGAUGAGUGGUUCGGCGAGGCGGACCUUGGAAACACCUACAUGGCCAUCACGACUGAAGUGGUGUUCGCUGACAGGUAAAAUGCAGGUGCAACCUUCACAGACUGACAGAGAUUGAGUGAUAACAGACACUGGAGACCCUCCAAGCGAUGGCUGGUGACCGCCUGCCACCAUCCACAGGCUGUCACACAAGGAGCCCUGGGAGUAACCUUGCUGGAAGCCCCGCGGGCCGCAGUGUGUGGCUGGCGUUAUACAGCCCCCAGCCAUCGCCUGGAGGGCAUCCAGUGUCUGUUAUCACUCACCUUAGGUAGUCUGUGAAGGUCCAGUCAUCACUGGUGCACGUGUAUCUUACCUGUGAUCAACACCGGCAGCCACAGACUCCUGCCCAAGGAACGAACACAGUGAUCGUGAUGACAUUGACAACAACGAGCAAGUCCUCCUAGACCUAGAGUGACCUCAAGCUGGGCCAAACAUGAUGUGGAAGAAGAAAUCAGUUGUCUCCAUCAGUCGGGUUUGUGCCAUGGCAGCUUUCUCCAGCUGUCCGGCAGAGGUCCAGUCCAUGCCAUGGAGAAAUUCAGCCCCCAACAAGGAGAUGGAAUGCCAGAGAUGGAUCCGCAGCUUCUCCUCCAAUCAAUCAAUCCUUGCAAUGCCCUUUCUCUUUUCUCUCCUUCUGUACCACCAUGCUUACACAUAACUGAUCCAAGGUACUUAAACUCGUUAACCUCCUCCAUUUCUUCACCAUUCAAAAUUAUUUGGCAUUCUUUUUCACAUUCAAUGCCCACUCUAUAUGGGCAUACAAACUCUACAACCUCCCUUCUACUCCGCUCACAAACCAUCACUUUACUUUUGUUGACAUUUA